GGCUUAGCUGUCUCCUUUUUCUAGCCAAUGAAAUUGAUCUUUCCGUGCAGAAGCGGGAAUAACAACAUAAGACGAGAAGACCCUAUGGAGCUUUAGACACUAAGACAGAUCACGUCAAACACCCCACGCUAAUGGGCCGAACUAAGUGAGCCCUGUCCUAAUGUCUUUGGUUGGGGCGACCCUGGGGAGACAAAUAACCCCCAUGUGGAGUGGAAACACCAUAUUUCCAGAACUAAGAGCUAACCGCUCUAAGGAACAGAAUUUCUGACCAUUUUAGAUCCGGCUACUGCCGAUCAGCGGACCGAGUUA
rnacentral:rRNA from 1 species